AAAUUUUAUAUUUUCACAAAAACCAAACAACUGCUGCAGAAAAUGACUACAGUCUCAAUAUGAAGCCAUUUUUCAUGAAACCUUCUGGUGCAAAAUACAGUGAAAUAUGUAAAAAGAAAAGUUU